ACAGCGCCAAAGCCGCGAGGCUCACCACGCACAGGAUCGCUCUCAGCGUCCUCUUUCGUGAGCGGGCUAAGGUCUGAGUAUUCUAGACCCCCUCGAUCGACUCUCGCAGAGUCCAGCGUCAACAGCGCUGAACAGCACACCAGAGAAACGGCGCGCAGUCUCAUCGAUCCUAAGAUCCUCUUCAUCGGAGUUGAGGACGAGACUGCGGUGCUUUGGGAUAUGCUGUGGGGUCUGGGCAGAUUCUUGUUCAUUGGGAUUGCAUGAUAAGCCUAUCACUGGUUCCUGUGCCGCUCAGGCGCACUUUGGUUGCAUCACUGCUGCAGAACUUUGUAUAUUGAGGUUCACCGAGCAAGUCCUAUUACGAGACGUCAUUGGUGCUCGCGACGCCCUUGAUUUGAAAUUGGGGGCUUGUUUGUGAUCGUUGAUAUGUGUAAAUCAAAACCGCCGGCGGUCGAUUCCUCUGUCCGGACCAGCACGAGGGCUGAAGUCAUGCAUCCUAUGUGCUUGAGCGCAUCUGUCCUUCAGCUCACUUCGCGGCUCGCUAUAUCUUCGGAUUAGUGAAACUCGAUUCAGACUACUCUGGCGCUGU
rnacentral:RNase_P_RNA from 2 species